GACGAACGCUGGCGGCGUGCCUAAUACAUGCAAGUAGAACGCAGUUGCGAACGGGUGAGUAACGCGUAGGUAACUGCCUGGUAGCGGGGGAUAACUAUUGGAAACGAUAGCUAAUACCACAUACUACCAGAUGGACCUGCGUUGUAUUGGUAAGUUGGUGGGGUAAAGGCCCACCAAGGCAACGAUAAAUAGCCGCCCUGAGAUGGUGAUCGGCCACACUGGGCCUGAGACACGGCCCAUGCUCCUACGGGAGGCAGCAGUAGGGAAGCUGCGGCAAUGGACGGAAGUCUUACCGAGCAACGCCGCGUGAGUGAAGAAGGUUUUCGGAUCGUAAAGCGCUGUUGUAAGAGAAGCGGUAUCUUACCAGAAAGGGACGGCUAACUACGUGCCAGCAGCCGCGGUAAUUC
rnacentral:rRNA from 1 species